UACGUAGGGGGCAAGCGUUGUCCGGAUUCAUUGGGCGUAAAGAGCGUGUAGGCGGCCAGGUAGGUCGGUUGUGAAAACUGGAGGCUCAACCUUCAGAGGUCGACCGAAACCAUCUGGCUAGAGUCCGGGAGAGGAGAGUGGAACUGCGAGUGUAGAGGUGAAAUUCGUAGAUAUUCGCAAGAACACCAGUGGCGAAGGCGGCUCACUGGCCCGAUACUGACGCUGAGGUGCGAAAGCGUGGGGAGCAAACAGG
rnacentral:rRNA from 1 species